rnacentral:lncRNA from 1 species
CCAGCUUUCUUCCCGCCAGGCCCCCUCCACCCGAUCGCCGCGCGCUCUCCGAACCAAAAGGCGACCUCACGAAAUGCCCCUUUGAGCUCAAAGGCUAGUUACCCCCAGGGGCCCUUCCACUCUCGGGGACAGGCGAAACCUCUUUGUCUCUGCCUCGGCCUGCGGCCCCCAGCCCAGCCUCCGCGCUUUCCCUCCGCCAGUCCUUGUCAAUCAAACCUGGUGCCAAACGCGGCAGCUGAAGUUUUCAGGGACACAUUUGCUUCUCCCCUUGAAGAACCAGUUACAAAGCGUGAUGUCCUCUCUGGGGUCCCAUCAGAACAAAGAAACAGGCUGUACAAGAAGCAUGAUGCCAGCAUCUGCUUCUGGUGACAACCUCAAGAAGUUUACAAUUGGCCGCGUGCGGUGGCUCAUGCCUGUAAUGCCAGCACUUCGGGAGGCGGAGACAGAUGGAUCAUUUGAGGUCAGGAGUUCGAGACCAGGCUGGCCAACAUGGUGAAACCCCAUCUCUACUAAAAAUACAAAAAUUAGCUGGGCAUGGUGGCAUGUGUCUGGAAUCCCUGCUACUCAGGAGGCUGAGGCAAGAGGAUCACUUGGAACUUGGGAGGCAGAGGUUGCUGUGAGCUGAGAUCACACCACUGUACUCCAGCCUGGGCAACAGAGUGAUACUCUAUCUCAAAAAAAAAAGAAAGAAAGAAAGAAAA